UACGUAGGGUGCGAGCGUUAAUCGGAAUUACUGGGCGUAAAGCGUGCGUAGACGGUUACGUAAGUCAGAUGUGAAAGCCCCGGGCUCAACCUGGGAAUUGCAUUUGAGACUGCGUAGCUAGGGUGCGGAAGAGGGAAGCGGAAUUUCCGGUGUAGCGGUGAAAUGCGUAGAUAUCGGAAGGAACACCAGUGGCGAAAGCGGCUUCCUGGUCCAGCACCGACGUUCAGGCACGAAAGCUAGGGGAGCAAACAGG
rnacentral:rRNA from 1 species